rnacentral:rRNA from 3 species
GUGGGUGGAUUAGUGGCGAACGGGUGAGUAACACGUGAGUAACCUGCCCUUGACUCUGGGAUAAGCCUGGGAAACUGGGUCUAAUACCGGAUAUGACUGGCUAUCGCAUGGUGGUUGGUGGAAAGCAUUUGCGGUUUUGGAUGGACUCGCGGCCUAUCAGCUUGUUGGUGGGGUAAUGGCCUACCAAGGCGACGACGGGUAGCCGGCCUGAGAGGGUGACCGGCCACACUGGGACUGAGACACGGCCCAGACUCCUACGGGAGGCAGCAGUGGGGAAUAUUGCACAAUGGGCGGAAGCCUGAUGCAGCGACGCCGCGUGAGGGAUGACGGCCUUCGGGUUGUAAACCUCUUUCAGUAGGGAAGAAGCGUAAGUGACGGUACCUGCAGAAGAAGCGCCGGCUAACUACGUGCCAGCAGCCGCGGUAAUACGUAGGGCGCAAGCGUUAUCCGGAAUUAUUGGGCGUAAAGAGCUCGUAGGCGGUUUGUCGCGUCUGCCGUGAAAGUCCGGGGCUCAACUCCGGAUCUGCGGUGGGUACGGGCAGACUAGAGUGAUGUAGGGGAGACUGGAAUUCCUGGUGUAGCGGUGAAAUGCGCAGAUAUCAGGAGGAUCACCGAUGGCGAAGGCAGGUCUCUGGGCAUUAACUGACGCUGAGGAGCGAAAGC